rnacentral:rRNA from 1 species
CUCGUAAGAGUGCGCAGCGUGAGCACCCACCCCCCCCCCGGGGGGAAGAAGACCGCCCGGUGGGUAGGAACGGGCCUUGUUUGGGAAGAAAGUACAGGUUUCGACCAGUUUUGACUGAGCCAAUUGAAGAGCACCGGCUAACUUCGUUCCAGGGGCCGUGGUAAUACGGAGGGUGCAAGCGUUGUCCGGAAUCAUUGGGUGUAAAGGGUGCGUAGGCUGGCGCCUAAGUCUGAGGUGAAAUCUUGCCGCUUAACGGUAAAAUGGCCUUGGAUACUGGGUGUCUUGAAUCUGACAGAGGUCGGUGGAAUUCGUAGUGUAGCGGUGAAAUGCAUAUAUUUUACUAAGAACACCAGUGGCGAAGGCGGCCGGCUGGGUCAGUAUUGACGCUGAGGCACGAGAGCGUGGGGAGCGAACAGGAUUAGAUACCCUGGUAGUCCACGCUGUAAACGAUGUAUGCUAGUUGUUGGGCCUAUGGGUUCAGUGACGCAGUUAACGCAGUAAGCAUACCACCUGGGGAGUACGUUCGCAAGAAUGAAACUCAAAGGAAUUGACGGGGGGCCCGCACAAGCGGUGGAGCAUGUGGCUUAAUUCGAUGCAACGCGAAGAACCUUACCCGGCCUAAAUCCACGAUGACCGCUCCCGAAACGGAGCUUCCCUUCGGGGCAUCAUGGAAGGUGCUGCAUGGCUGCCGUCAGCUCGUGCCGUGAGGUGUUCCUUAAGUGGCGCAACGAGCGCAACCCCUGUGGUUAGUUACCAGCACGUAAUGGUGGGGACUCUACCCAGACUGCCUUACGCAAGUAGUGAGGAAGGUGGGGACGACGUCAGUCUUCAUGGCCCUUAUUGUCCGGGGCUGGCAACCGUGGC